GGUGAACGCUGGCGGCGUGCCUAAGACAUGCAAGUCGAGCGGGCCGCGGGGUUUUACUCCGUGGUCAGCGGCGGACGGGUGAGUAACGCGUGGGUGACCUACCCGGAAGAGGGGGACAACCCGGGGAAACUCGGGCUAAUCCCCCAUGUGGACCCGCCCCUUGGGGUGUGUCCAAAGGGCUUUGCCCGCUUCCGGAUGGGCCCGCGUCCCAUCAGCUAGUUGGUGGGGUAAUGGCCCACCAAGGCGACGACGGGUAGCCGGCCUGGGAGGGUGGCCGGCCACAGGGGCACUGAGACACGGGCGCCACUCCUACGGGAGGCAGCAGUUAGGAAUCUUCCGGAAUGAGCGCAAGCCUGACGGAGCGACGCCGCUUGGAGGAAGAAGCCCUGCGGGGUGUAGACUCCUGAACCCGGGACGAAACCACCGACGAGGGGACUGACGGUACCGGAGUAAUAGCGCCGGCCAACUCCGUG
rnacentral:rRNA from 1 species